GCUCAGUUGGGAGAGCAUCGCCCUUACAAGGCGAGGGUCACUGGUUCAAGUCCAGUACGACCCACCA
rnacentral:tRNA from 1 species